rnacentral:tRNA from 1 species
AGAGGGUUAGUUUAACAAAAACAUAAUCUUGUCAAGAAUAAAAUAUUUAUUAUAAAAUACCCCCUA